rnacentral:lncRNA from 1 species
AAGUUUGAAAAAAGUGCUGGAGGCAAGAGUUGAACAGAGGACAUCAAGGUCACAAACAGGCGCAUGAAAUAAUAAAACAAAAGUAACAUGGCAGAGAUUCAAACCAAGGCACUCAAGGUCACAAACAGGCGCAUGAAAUAAUAAAAUUCACAAAUGUUGUGGCCAGGUAUCGAACCAAGGAGGUAAUGGUUACAAGCGUGCGCAAAUAAAUCAAAUAAAACCAAGCAAGAUGAGGAUCGAACAGAG